rnacentral:rRNA from 1 species
UACGUAGGGACCGAGCGUUGUCCGGAAUCAUUGGGCGUAAAGAGCGUGUAGGCGGCCACUUAAGUCCUGCGUGAAAUCUUGCGGCUCAACCGCAAGCGGUCGUGGGAAACUGGGUGGCUAGAGUGCGGGAGAGGAGAGUGGAAUUCCUGGUGUAGCGGUGAAAUGCGUAGAGAUCAGGAGGAACACCCAUGGCGAAGGCAGCUCUCUGGUCGACCUCUGACGCUGAGACGCGAAAGCGUGGGGAGCGAACGGG